UACGGGGGGGGGCAAGCGUUGUUCGGAAUUACUGGGCGUAAAGGGCUCGUAGGCGGCCAACUAAGUCAGACGUGAAAUCCCUCGGCUUAACCGGGGAACUGCGUCUGAUACUGGAUGGCUUGAGUUCGGGAGAGGGAUGCGGAAUUCCAGGUGUAGCGGUGAAAUGCGUAGAUAUCUGGAGGAACACCGGUGGCGAAGGCGGCAUCCUGGACCGACACUGACGCUGAGGAGCGAAAGCCAGGGGAGCAAAAGCGGG
rnacentral:rRNA from 1 species